GCUGGGGCCUAAUUUAGCCUGUAUUUUCAGGUCUUUUCUUGCUGGUCUGUUUCCAUCCCCAGUCAGAACUGGGGCGUUUUCUUCUUAAGUUACUAAAAAGGAAACGGCUCUCUACCUAAGUUCAGCUUCAAUUUCAGGGCAGAGCGGCUCCUGUGGGCAGGAGCCUGACCUGAGCCCCACCACCUGGUGUGGGCCAGGCAUGCCUAAGGCAGAGCGGAAGUCAGAACCACCCUGCGGAUGUCAGGUGAGCUCAGACACAGGGCACCUGGUACGCCGCACCCCAGCACCCGUCCUCUCUGAAGGGAGCACACUGGACUUCACGGCCUAAAGUUCCUUUUCUAGCUGGGGUCAUUUACCCUUUUCAGCAAAGGAGAAAUGUCAAGCAGAGAAACCAGAAGGCCGCCUUGUAGCCCAAAUACCAAGCAGUACCCACGCACAGCCUCCGACCGAUGUCUGUGACCAUUUCCCGGCAGGCUUGCAGAGCUGGGGCCGCCGGGUAGGCCAUAGCCACCAUUGCUGUGUAGAGCUUAUUCUCCCUGGAUGAGAUCCUACGUGAGGAUUGUUGAACGAGAAGGAAAUGCCAGCUGGGCUGAACAGUCACAGGACAGCACCACAGUGUUUUCGGAGUGGAGAAUAGUAUUCCCUGCCCACGGAAGUAAAAGGAAACCAGCUUUGUCGUCGGAGUUCCUGGUGCUUAAGUGUAGAGGGACGUGUACAGAGAUCUCGUUAACCAAGUUCUUCUACAGUUGAACAAGUGCAUCUUGGAUUGUCACGUUUUUAAAGACCUCGCCUCUUACAACCCACAGUGGUUAGCUCAAUCAAUCAAUCAAUCAAUCAA